UCGGGAAUUUUGGGCAAUGGGGGAAACCCUGACCCAGCAACGCCGCGUGAAGGAUGAAGUAUUUCGGUAUGUAAACUUCGAAAGAAUAGGAAGAAUAAAUGACGGUACUAUUUAUAAGGUCCGGCUAACUACGUGCCAGCAGCCGCGGUAAUACGUAGGGACCAAGCGUUGUUCGGAUUUACUGGGCGUAAAGGGCGCGUAGGCGGCAUGACAAGUCACUUGUGAAAUCUCUGGGCUUAACCCAGAACGGCCAAGUGAUACUGUCGCGCUAGAGUGCAGAAGGGGCAAUCGGAAUUCUUGGUGUAGCGGUGAAAUGCGUAGAUAUCAAGAGGAACACCUGAGGUGAAGACGGGUUGCUGGGCUGACACUGACGCUGAGGCGCGAAAGCCAGGGGAGCAAACGGGAUUAGAUACCCAUGUAGUCCCUGAG
rnacentral:rRNA from 1 species